UAGUUACCCGUAGUUCAAAUUUACAAAAAAUGGGCUUCUUUAAAAUGUGGUGAUAUCAGGUAUUAGAUAAUAACGCGUUCACCAAAUAGAAGUCCACAAAAGCGUGAGUGUAUUUUGGGUUGCAUCUUAUUUCUUUCACAAAUGGGGAUUUUUUCUCCUGGCACUACUUGCUGUCAAAUUCGAAAACAACGUACUUUUUAAACCGAAAAAUGCUCCCAGUUAAUUUAACAAAAACUGAAUUAAACACCAGUUUUGCGUGUUGUGAAAAACAUCUUCACACCCUAACCGGUGUCGGUUUUAACCGAAAUGAGAUUUUAUCAUGGUUCCAAGGUUUGUGCCAACACUUGACCACAAUAAUUAAACUAAUCGGCCGUUAUUACAAAGAAGCGAAGAUAAAAACUAUAAAUUCGUCCCAACUUUUAUACUUGACUCAAACCCUCACCACUUUAUCUCUCCUUAUCAAUAUUUUUGUCCGUGAGGACGAAAUCCAACAAGUCGUAACCGAGGCUCGGAAAUGUGUGAUUAAACAAAUGACUUGCUGUCUGGAGUCAAUCCAAGUGGGCUUGGCGUGCCCCAAGGACGCCCCCUCUGACGGUAAUUUCGUGAAAUGGAUGGACUCAGCUUUGGAAAAAAUCACCGAAAUUAACGUUUGUGGGGUCUAUGACGAGGCGAGACACCUGUGUGAGGAGGUGCUAGCGCAUGCCAUGUCCAUAGCCCAGGUUUCGCUCCCCGAAGACAGUAAAAAAAUACGAGGGGGCUGUCAGGCUGUCUUAUCGGCUUUAAAUUCGCUAGAAAGCGAAAAAAAUAACACGACAAUAAACACAGCGAUGGUUAAUUUAUGCGCAAACGCCUGCAGUGACAAACUGUGCAUUUUGGAGCGGAAAGUUAACACUGCAGUGCUCCGUUUGUGUCUCAAAACGUUCUCCGAAUUUACCACUCCGUUGGAGAAAAUUCACGAUUUUUGCGUCAAUUUUAAUAAUAGGGACAAGAGUGAGGAACUUGACGGUUUGGUGGCCGAUUUUGACUUGCACGUGGAUCGGAUUAUGCAAAUUGGGUUGUUUGCGGUGUCCUGCUCCAGUGAUUUUGCACGCGGGAUUAAGAUUCGCAGCUGUUUGGCGAGUUUGGAGGCCCUUGAGAGCGAACUUGUGCCAGCUCUGACGUCCCUUUUGUUGGAUAAUUCCGUCCAUAACAUCAACUGUGCGUCAAUUUUGAUGAAACAUUGGUUGAAUCAAGCGAUUUCCUUGCAACGUCUGAUUUAUCUGAUAAUUGAUCCGUUUGCCUUUUGCCAGGUCAUUUAUGACGAAGCUUCCGAAAUUGUUGAUAAUUUAUCAGACUUGAUAAGGAAAAAAACCUUGAUUAGGCAAACCGAUGUGUGUUGUUUUCUCUCAAUUGUUAAAGUGUUGCAAACGUUUUUAGAGACGGCAAAGUCGGAAUUUAGCCAAAGCGAACUGAAUAAAAUUCAAACAAAAAUUGUAGAUUUUAAUGAAGUGUUGCAAGAAACCGAAAGUGCCUCGAAAGUUCUCCUCACUGAUACUAACAUUGACUUUGAUAAUUGUAAACGAGUGCUAAAAAGAUGCCGAAUUCUUUUAACAGUUUUGAAACGUUUGUGGUUUUGUUUCUCUGACGAAGAUGUGCUUAGUAAAAGUGUUAAGAAUAAUUUUAACACAAAUGAACAAAUGGAACCAACCGGGAAUCCUUUCCUGGAUCAUAUAAUCAACAGAGGAAAGCAGAUUUUACAAGAUCGAAGCGUUUUGUAUCGAACUCCAGUCAAAAAUAACGUUUGGAAAAAAAAUAUUUCAAAUGGCACCAAACAAGGCCAGAGGAGAGAAAUUCCGCUCUCAAAACUUGUACAUUUGAGGAAAUUCAGUUUUGUUAGUAAUGUGGAGAAAACAGAGGCCAGCUUGGAUUUGCAAAUAACAGAUGCUGUUGCAAAGCAGCUACGAACAACCAGUCCGUUUAAAACAAAUCCUCGGUUUUCGCCCACAACUAACAUUCCUCAUUUUAUUAUCAAGCUGGUGGUUAUUUAUAAUGGUAACAAACGUAGAUUUCAAAUCUCGCAUGACCGCUUACAUGGUCUACAACCCCGAACCUCCAACAACAUUACAGGAGUUACUAAGCGAAGGUUACCAUUUCGUUGUCGACAAGACUAAAUACAACAGUUACUUGUCGAUUUUUGUAAAGGAAGAACAACUAUUAAUUAUGAACAACCCCAACACUGUCGAAAAAGAACACUUGUGUGAACUUGCCUCAUACAUUGAAUCAAACCCGGCUAUAAUUGCCGGAGAAGUCGCAGUCAAUUUAUACCACACGAAAAUCUACUGCACGGAAUAUUACACAAAACCACCCGAAUCCAUAGAUCGCUUCACAACGAAAGUCUUCAAUGCGAUACCGCACGGCUGGGCCUUGGGCAAAGGGGCCCCCUUUGUGCACGUGGUGGACAAGGCGAUAAGACAGGCAACAAGUGCCGGUUUAUUGGAAAUGUGGAAGAGGAACGACCUCUUAAAAAAGAAAAUUUUACCAGAAAAACGGGCCAAAGACUCGCACAAUAUCCACUCUGAUGAUUUCUACAUGUUGUUUGCCAUGUGUUUGUCCUUGAUUUGUGUCUCCAUUGGGCUGUUUUUUUGCGAGCUUUUUUACCACACUUACCUCCAAACAUAGAAGGCUCUGGUCACUGAACGCAA